GAUGAACGCUGGCGGCGUGCUUAACACAUGCAAGUCGAACGAUGAAGGAGAGCUUGCUCUCCGGAUUAGUGGCGAACGGGUGAGUAACACGUGACUAACCUGCCCCUUUCUCUGGGAUAACGCUCCGAAAGGAGUGCUAAUACCGGAUACGAACUCUGAACACAUGUUCGGAGUUGGAAAGUUUUUCGGAAAGGGAUGGAGUCGCGGCCUAUCAGCUUGUUGGUGAGGUAACGGCACACCAAGGCGACGACGGGUAGCCGGCCUGAGAGGGCGACCGGCCACACUGGGACUGAGACACGGCCCAGACUCCGUCGGGAGGCAGCAGGGGGGAAUAUUGCACAAUGGGCGAAAGCCUGAUGCAGCGACGCCGCGUGAGGGAUGAAGGUCUUCGGAUUGUAAACCUCUUUCAGUAGGGACGAAGCGAAAGUGACGGUACCUAAAGAAGAAGCACCGGCUAACUACGUGCCAGCCGCCGCGGUAA
rnacentral:rRNA from 1 species